rnacentral:rRNA from 1 species
AUUGAACGCUGGCGGCAGGCCUAACACAUGCAAGUCGAGCGGAGCGGCAGACGGGGGAGUAAUGCCUAGGACUCUGCCUGGUAGUGGGGGAUAACGUCAGGAAACGGGCGCUAAUACCGCAUACUAUCAGAUUAGCCUAGGUCGGAUUAGCGAGUGGGUGGGGUAAAGGCCUACCAAGGCGACGGGCCGUAACUGGUCUGAGAGGAUGAUCAGUCACACUGGAACUGAGACACGGUCCAGACUCCUACGGGAGGCAGCAGUGGGGAAUAUUGGACAAUGGGCGAAAGCCUGAUCCAGCCAUGCCGCGUGUGUGAAGAAGGUCGUCGGAUUGUAAAGUACUUUAAGUUGGGAGGCGUUACCAACAGAAUAAGCACCGGCUAACUUCGUGCCAGCAGCCGCGGUAAUUC